rnacentral:rRNA from 1 species
UACGAGGGGGGCAAGCGUUGUUCGGAAUUAUUGGGCGUAAAGGGCGCGUAGGCGGUGCGGUAAGUCACCUGUGAAAUCUCUGGGCUCAACUCAGAGUCUGCAGGCGAAACUGCCGUGCUAGAGUACGGAAGAGGCGAGUGGAAUUCCUGGUGUAGCGGUGGAAUGCGCAGAUAUCAGGAGGAACACCAAUUGCGAAGGCGGCUCUCUGGGACGGUACUGACGCUGAGACGCGAAAGCGUGGGGAGCGAACAGG